AAACUUCACAAUGGGGGAAACCCCGAUGAGGGAAUUCCAAGUGCCAGCACAUUGUGUUGGCUGUUCCCCUGUCUAAAAAACAGGAGAAGUAAGGGCCGGGUAAGACGGGUGCCAGCCGCCGCGGUAAUACCCGCGGCCCGAGUGGUGGUCGAUAUUAUUGAGCCUAAAACGUUCGUAGCCGGUCUUGUAAAUCCUUGGGUAAAUCGGCCAGCUUAACUGUCCGAAGUCCGGGGAGACUGCAAGACUUGGGAUCGGGAGAGGUCAGAGGUACUUCUGGGGGUAGGGGUAAAAUCCUGUAAUCCUAGAAGGACCACCGGUGGCGAAGGCGUCUGACUAGAACGAAUUCGACGGUGAGGAACGAAGCCCUGGGGCGCAAACGGGAUUAGAUACCCCGGUAGUCCAGGGUGUAAACGCUGCGGGCUUGGUGUUGGGGGUCCUUAGUGGGCGCCCAGUGCCGGAGAGAAGUUGUUAAGCCUGCUGCUUGGGGAGUAUGUCCGCAAGGAUGAAACUUAAAGGAAUUGGCGGGGGAGCACCGCAACGGGAGGAGCGUGCGGUUCAAUUGGAUUCAACGCCGGACAACUCACCAGGAGCGACUAUUACAUGAAGGCCAGGCUGAUGACCUUGCCUGAUUUUUAGAGAGGUGGUGCAUGGCCGUCGUCAGUUCGUACCGUAAGGCGUUCUCUUAAGUGAGAUAACGAACGAGACCCUCACCGUUAAUUGCUAACUUUCUCUCCGGAGGGAGUGCACAUUAAUGGGACCGCUUUCGCUAAGAAAGAGGAAGGAGAGGUCAACGGUAGGUCCGUAUGCCCCGAAUCUCCUGGGCUACACGCGCGCUACAAAGGUUGGGACAAUGGGUUCCUACAUCGAAAGGUGACGGCAAUCCCGAAACCCAAUCGUAGUUCGGAUUGAGGGCUGUAACUCGCCCUCAUGAAGCUGGAUUCCGUAGUAAUCGCGGAUCAACAAUCCGCGGUGAAUAUGCCCCUGCUCCUUGCACACACCGCCCGUCAAACCACCCGAGUUGGGUUUCAGUAAGGGUAUCUCAAUUUGGGGUAUUCGAACUGAGAUUCAGCAAGGAGGGUU
rnacentral:rRNA from 1 species